rnacentral:rRNA from 1 species
GGUCAAGUUAUUAAGGGUGCAGGGCGGAUGCCUUGGCACUAGGAGCCGAUGAAGGACGUGAUAAGCUGCGAUAAGCUUCGGGGAGUUGCACGUAAACUUUGAUCCGAAGAUUUCCGAAUGAGGAAACUCACUUAGAGUAAUGUCUAAGUAUCAUUAAGUGAAUACAUAGCUUAAUGAGGGGAACUCAGGGAACUGAAACAUCUAAGUACCUGAAGGAAGAGAAAGAAAUUCGAUUCCGUAAGUAGCGGCGAGCGAACGCGGAUUAGCCCAAACCAAUAAAGUUUUCUUUAUUGGGGUUGCGGACAUAUCAUAACGAAGAGGUAUCGUAAUUGAAGAGGUUUGGAAAGACCCACCACAGAAGGUAAUAGUCCUGU